GACGAACGCUGGCGGCGUGCUUAACACAUGCAAGUCGAACGGAAAGGCCCUGCUUUUGCGGGGUGCUCGAGUGGCGAACGGGUGAGUAACACGUGAGUAACCUGCCCUUGACUUUGGGAUAACUUCAGGAAACUGGGGCUAAUACCGGAUAGGAGCUCCUGCUGCAUGUUGGGGGUUGGAAAGUUUCGGCGGUUGGGGAUGGACUCGCGGCUUAUCAGCUUGUUGGUGGGGUAGUGGCUUACCAAGGCUUUGACGGGUAGCCGGCCUGAGAGGGUGAACGGCGACAUUGGUACUAAGGUACGGCCCAGACUCCUACGGGAGGCAACAGGGGGGAAUAUUGCACAAUGGGCGGAAGUCAGAUGCAGCAACGCCGGGUGCGGGAUGACGGCCUUCGGGUUGUAAACCGCUGUCGCAGGUGACGAAGAGUGAGUGACGGUAAUGGGUAAAGAAGCCCCGGCUAACUACGUG
rnacentral:rRNA from 1 species